UCUCUCUCUCUCUCUCUCUCUCUGCAGGUGUGCCACCUCCUCAUCCAAUCAGAGGAUUGGUCAAACAACAGCUGCUGUACUGCCGUGUUGGGAUAGGAUACCAUCUGCAGGUCCUGUCCAAUGGAACUGUAGGAGGAGUGCAUGAACCAACUGAACAUAGCUUGCUGAAGGUGUUUGCCAUGAAGCGUGGUGUUGUGGGCAUCAGAGGCAUCAAGACUGGCUUGUAUAUCUGUAUGAGCCAAGAGGGCAUCGCACACGGAGCAGUACAGUUCUCGUCUGACUGUCUGUUCAAGGAGAGCCUGGAGGAAAACCACUACACCACCUUUUCCUCCCUGUCUCAUCCAGGCAUCUACUUGGCCCUGUCCCAUAAAGGAGAGGCCAAGAGGGGGACCAGCGUUGGGAGACUCCAGCCCUGCACACACUUCCUCCCUCGCAGAGCUCCAUAAGUAACCCCUGUGCAACCCUUUACAACCUUUCUACAACCAAUGACCCCAACCCAGGGGUCACAACUGUAACUGUGAGGAGAAUCCUGUAAAUCCCUACAACGUUGAAAUAACCCAAACCGUUGGGCAUUUCACCCUUUUACCCAGCGUGACUGAUAUACUUGAAAUGACAUUGGAAACAGUGUAGCAACUGAAGAUAAGCAAAUUGACAUAUAAUGGUAGACUAACUCUAAGGGUCAACGCACACACGGUCCUUGUGAUGCUCUGUUAGCAUAAUUGGAUGUAACUGGACUGGACUGGAUUUUGAACGUCUGUUUGAAAUAUGAGGAUAUUUAUGGACAAAAAUAUUAGUUUUUUAAAUCUACAGUUUCAGUCAGAUUGAGUUGUGGUCAUUACACGUGCCUUUUUUCAACUUUUCACAUUAUUCAUUAUAUUUAUCAAGGUUGGCCCUAGCCUUUUGGGGGCCCUAAGCGGGAUUUGUUUGGGGGGCCCCCCACCUCACGGGCAAAACAUUUUAGUGGCCCCCCUCAUAAUGGUUGAAAGAAAAGUGAUGGUGGUUGAAAAGUUAAUUUCCUGCAAUUCUACACAUUUUGCCAUCAGAAGUAGAGAACAUGUUACCAAAUGUUGCCAUUUUAUUUUUUUAAAUGAUGUAAUUCUAUACAUUUUGAGAGAACAAAAUAGCAGUUUUACAGCACAUUUCCUGAAUAUCUACCCAUUUUUCCGUGACUUAUGCCAUGUUGAUAAUAUCUGAGUGAGUGUGACUAACAAAAUCAAUGUGGGCCCCCUGGAGGUCAGGGCCCCUGGACACCUUCACUGCCUGCCUGGUCAGUAUUCAUCCAUAAUUACUAAGUUAGAUAGCUGGCUAGACAAACUUACCAAUCAAAACAUUUUUGUGACUGUCAGUGACAGACAUAACAAGAGAAAAACUGCUGAUGUACACCUUUGGGAAAGGCAGCCCUAUGCGACCACUUAUGUUGCAUAUGCCUGCAGCCAGCCCUGAUAUUUAUUACAAUCUACUACUGUAUGAAUAUACACUUCCCUCUGUAUGUAUUUGGACAGUGUUGCAAAAAUAAAUAUUUGUUUGGUUCUAUACUCCAGCAAAAAAUGUCCCCCCCCUCCUCCGGCCGCAAAA